UCUUAGAUUGGAAUACCAAAUGGAAACAUUUGCUAAUGCCGGAUACGCAUGGAACCGCAUGGUUCCGUUGUGAAA
rnacentral:rRNA from 1 species